rnacentral:rRNA from 1 species
AACUUGCCAGCUGAGUCGGUAUGAGGGAGGUGGAUUCCUGGUUAGCGGUGAAAUGCGUAGAAAUACGAGGAACUCCAGUGGGCGUAGCGGCCUCCUUGACUGAUACCUGAAUUUAAGGUGCGAAAGCGUGGGGAGCAAACAGGAUUAGAUACCUGGUAGUCACGCCCGUAAACGAUGUCAACUAGCAGUUGAAUUCUGAGAUCUUUAGUUGCGCAGCUAACGCAUUAAGUAGACCGCCUGGGGGAGUACGGGCGCAAGGUUUAAAACUCAAAUGAAUUUACGGGGGCCCGCACAAGCGGUUGGAGCAUGUGGUUUUAUUUCGAAUGCAACGCGAAGAACUUUACCAGGCUCUUGACAUGCAGAGAACUUCCAGAGAUAGAUUGGUUGCCUUCGGGAACUCUGACACAGGUUGCUGCAUGGCUGUUCGUCAGCUCGUGUCGUGAGAAGUUUGGUUUAAUCCCGUCACGAAGCGCCAACCCUGUCCUUAGUUUGCCAGCAGUUAUGGUGGGCACUCUAAGGAGACUGCCGGUGACAAACCGGAGGAAGGUGGGGAUGACGUCAAGUCAUCAUGGCCCUUUCGGCCUGGGCUACACACGUGCUACAAUGGUCGGUACAGAGGGUUGCCAACCCGCGAGGUGGAGCUAAUCUCACAAAACCGAUCGUAGUCCGGAUCGCAGUCUGCAACUCGACUGCGUGAAGUCGGAAUCGCUGGUAAUCGCGAAUCAGAAUGUCGCGGUGAAUACGUUCCCGGGCCUUGUACACCCGCCCCUCACACCGGGGAGUGGGUUCACCAGAAGUAGCUAGUCUAAUAUUCGUACAAAGCUCCAAGCUAUACUAGUUUUGUUCUUUCCGUUC